rnacentral:rRNA from 1 species
AGUGAACGCUGGCGGUAGGCCUAACACAUGCAAGUCGAACGGCAGCACAGUAAUAGCUUGCUCUUACGGGUGGCGAGUGGCGGACGUGUCAGGAAUACAUCGGAAUCUACUUUUUCGUGGGGGAUAACGUAGGGAAACUUACGCUAAUAUCGCAUACGACCUACGGGUGAAAGCAGGGGAUCUUCGGACCUUGCGCGGUUGAAUGAGCCGAUGUCGGAUUAGCUAGUUGGCGGGGUAAAGGCCCACCAAGGCGACGAUCCGUGGCUGGUCUGAGAGGAGGAUCAGCCACACGGGAACUGAGACACGGUCCAGACUCCUACGGGAGGCAGCAGUGGGGAAUAGUGGACAAUGGGCGGAAACCUGGUACAACCAUACCGCGUGGGUGAAGGAAGCCUUACGGGUGUAAAGCCCUUUUGUUGGGAAAGAAAAGCAGCAGGUUAAUACCCCGCUGUUCUGACGGUACCCAAAGAAUAAGCACCGGCUAACUUCGUG